rnacentral:lncRNA from 1 species
AGGCCAUGUCUGUACAUGCUAGGCUCGUCAAGCUUAACCCGAGUGUUCCGCGCAUACAACUGUUUUGCAUCCGUUGUAUGUGAACGUUGAGUCUAUCACACCCGAUCAUCACGUGGUGUCUCGAAACUACCAACUGUCGCAACGGUGCACAGUCGGGGAGAACACAAUUUCGUCUUGAAAUUUUAGUGAGAGAUCACCUCAUAAUGCUACCGUCGUUCUAAGCAAGAUAAGGUGCAUAAAAGAUUAACAUCACAUGCAAUUCAUAAGUGACAUGAUAUGACCAUCAUCAUGUGCUUCUUGAU